ACCUCGUGGUUAGGACAUUUCAUAAUCUUGUCCUUAAAUCUCCCCCAUGCUUUAUACAAAGGAUCCUUAUUGAGUUGACGAAAAUUUUUAAUUUCGUCACGCAACU
rfam:Capsicum annuum cultivar Zunla-1 chromosome 1, whole genome shotgun sequence